rnacentral:rRNA from 1 species
ACCCGGAGGAAGAGAAAGAAAAUUCGAUUCCCUUAGUAGCGGCGAGCGAAACGGGAAGAGCCCAAACCAACAAGCUUGCUUGUUGGGGUUGUAGGACACUCUAUACGGAGUUACAAAGGACGACAUUAGACGAAUCAUCUGGAAAGAUGAAUCAAAGAAGGUAAUAAUCCUGUAGUCGAAAAUGUUGUCUCUCUUGAGUGGAUCCUGAGUACGACGGAGCACGUGAAAUUCCGUCGGAAUCUGGGAGGACCAUCUCCUAAGGCUAAAUACUCUCUAGUGACCGAUAGUGAACCAGUACCGUGAGGGAAAGGUGAAAAGCACCCCGGAAGGGGAGUGAAAUAGAACCUGAAACCGUGUGCUUACAAGUAGUCAGAGCCCGUUAAUGGGUGAUGGCGUGCCUUUUGUAGAAUGAACCGGCGAGUUACGAUUUGAUGCAAGGUUAAGCAGUAAAUGUGGAGCCGUAGCGAAAGCGAGUCUGAAUAGGGCGUUUAGUAUUUGGUCGUAGACCCGAAACCAGGUGAUCUACCCUUGGUCAGGUUGAAGUUCAGGUAACACUGAAUGGAGGACCGAACCGACUUACGUUGAAAAGUGAGCGGAUGAACUGAGGGUAGCGGAGAAAUUCCAAUCGAACCUGGAGAUAGCUGGUUCUCUC